rnacentral:rRNA from 1 species
UACGUAAGCGGCGAGCGUUAUCCGGAAUUACUGGGCGUAAAGCGUGCGUAGGCGGUUUAGUGUGUGGGAAUUGAAAGCCCGGGGCUCAACUCCGGAUCCGGUUCCCAAACUGCUAGACUCGAGCGUAUCAGAGGAGAGCGGAAUUCCCGGUGUAGCGGUAAUAUGCGUAGAUAUCGGGAGGAACACCAGUGGCGAAGGCGGCUCUCUGGGGUAUUGCUGACGCUGAGGCACGAAAGCCAGGGGAGCGAACGGG